UUAAAUGUAAAUGUUUUUAUUUUGUAACAUUUUUGGGAAAAUAUAAACCACACAACCUUUGACAGGCACAUCAUCACAACCAUGCACUCACAGGACAGCUACUGUAUGUACAGGAUAUACAACAACAUCAACACAGAGCUCCAUAUUCAAUAACACAUCAUCACAACCAUACACUCACAGGACAGCUACUGUAUGUACAGGAUAUACAACAACAUCAACACAGAGCUCCAUAUUCAAUAACACACCAUCACAACCAUACACUCACAGGACAGCUACUGUAUGUACAGGAUAUACAACAACAUCAACACAGAGCUCCAUAUUCAAACACACCAUCACAACCAUACACUCACAGGACAGCUACUGUAUGUACAGGAUAUACAACAACAUCAACACAGAGCUCCAUAUUCAAACACACCAUCACAACCAUACACUCACAGGACAGCUACUGUAUGUACAGGAUAUACAACAACAUCAACACAGAGCUCCAUAUUCAAACACACCAUCACAACCAUACACUCACAGGACAGCUACUGUAUGUACAGGAUAUACAACAACAUCAACACAGAGCUCCAUAUUCAAACACACCAUCACAAUCCCUUGGCAAAAAACCACAAGGCAUAUGGAGAGAAAAACUUCAAAUAUAUCCUCUCCCCUCCCUCUCAUCAGACUCCCCAAUAAGCGGCGAAAGUCCUUUUGGCUUGUCAUGAUCGCUAUUAAAGGAUAAUAAAAUUAAUCGUUUUUUACAAUUGGGUGGCAGUCCACAAAGCUACAGAAUACUAAAAUGAUCAUAUUUGAGACAAACACUGAACUGUUUUUGAAACACAUUUUGAAAAUAAAGCCAGAAAGUUAUUGCGAGAACUUUAGGAAUGUGCUGCCAUUUAUGAUUUAUUCACAUAUCGUCCAACCCAAUUAGAUCAGUAGUUUAAUGAGAAACAGCUGAACGCCUACCAAACACAGAACACACAAUCAAACAUUCAAAGAUGCUAUAGCUAACUAUCCAGCUAAAAUCACAUAUAAAUGCUAACAAUCACAGGAGGUUGGUAAUUGGAGAGGACAGGCUCGUGGUAAGGGCUGGAGAAGAUUUUGAUACCAUUCCAACAAUACAUCAGACACAAGGUUUCCAGGUGUUUGAUACCAUUCCAACAAUACAUCAGACACAAGGUUUCCAGGUGUUUGAUACCAUUCCAACAAUACAUCAGACAAAAGGUUUCCAGGUGUUUGAUACCAUUUCAACAAUACAUCAGACACAAGGUUUCCAGGUGUUUGAUACCAUUCCAACAAUACAUCAGACACAAGGUUUCCAGGUGUUUGAUACAUUCCAUUAACUCCGUUCCAGACAUUAUUAUGAGCCGUCCUCCCCUCAGCAGCCUCCACUGGUAACAAUAUCAAACAGUGUAAAAGCAAUUUAACAAAGGUAUAAAAAUGAAUUAAGUCUAAAGUCCUUGAAUUCUGAGUAGUAUAUGGGAUAUGUUCAGAUAUUAUACUGUAUAAUUAACAACGUUUUUACAACUUACUUGCAAUGUUCAUAUAAUGUUCUAAGUCAGGCAUUUGCACAAUGAUGCCUCUUUGAGUUUGGCUUAUGUCAUGUAUCUUAUGAACAUUCAUAUAGAGGUUCUAAUCAGGAACAGCCACACCCGGCAAUGUCAUUUCUCUACAAUAUGACCACCCGAUGUUGUGCCAUUCAUUAUCAAUAAUACUGAUAUUUGAUUGUCUGCACUAAACUUCCAUCCACUCCUCCUUCCCCCAAUGAUCCUCCUUCCCAUCAACCCUCUCCCAGCUACACAUCCCAGACCAUUCACUUUCAUAGGCAACACUCAAAGUGCACUUGAGUACUUCACCCUCCAGUCAGAGGAGACUUUACUGGAUUAGGGCACUUCUUUUCUCCAAGUGGUUUUAAACUACAUCAACUAUCCCUAAAUAAGGGCACUUCUUUUCUCCAAGUGGUUUUAAACUACAUCAACUAUCCCUAAAUAAGGGCACUUCUUUU
ensembl:lncRNA